rnacentral:tRNA from 1 species
UUUCAUAGAAACAGCAAUUAGGCAUUGGGUUUUACCUGCGCAGGUUCGAAUCCUGUCUGUGACGUAGGCAUUGGGUUUUACCUGCGCAGGUUCGAAUCCUGUCUGUGACG